rnacentral:rRNA from 1 species
GACGAACGCUGGCGGCGUGCCUAAUCCAUGCAAGUAGGACGCAGUUGCGAACGGGUGAGUAACGCGUCGGUAACUGCCUAUUCGCGGGGGAUAACUAUUGGAAACGAUAGCUAAUACCGCCUACUAGUAUAUGGACCUGCGUUGUAUUAGCUAGUAGGUAGGGUAAUGGCCUAACUAGGCUACGAUACAUAGCCGACCUGAGAGGGGUAUCGGCCACACUGGGACUGAGACACGGCCCAGACUCCUACGGUAGGCAGCAGUAGGGAAUCUUCGGCAAUGGGGGGAACCCUGACCGAGCAACGCCGCGUGAGUGAAGAAGGUUUUCGGAUCGUAAAGCUCUGUUGUUAAGGAAGCGGUACUUAACCAGAAAGGGACGGCUAACUACGUGCCAGCAGCCGCGGUAAUAC